rnacentral:ncRNA from 1 species
UAAUAUCUAGUUUGACAUUAUGAAGAAUCAUGAGAGGUGUAGUAUAGGUGGGAGACUGAUGAUUUAUUUUAUUGAUCAACAAUGAAAUACCACCACUUUCAUCGAUUCUUCACUUAUUCGGUAAGAAGAGGAUUGAGUUUCGACUCUUUAUUAUUUGUUUCAAGUACGGUCACCUGGUGUUUAUACGACUCUCGCCGAAGACAGUGUCAAGCGGGGAGUUUGACUGGGGCGGUACAUCUGUCAAAUUGUAACGCAGGUGUCCUAAGGUUAGCUCAGAGGGGACGGAAACCUCUCGUAGAGUAAAGGGGCAAAAGCUAGCUUGAUCUUGACUUUCAGCGUUUUCCGACUUCAAAGUGUAGCCAUACGUACUGUUUCAUAGUCUUGCACGAUCUUCAGAUAUUGGUCCCUGUAA